rnacentral:misc_RNA from 1 species
AAAAAGAAGGGGUACCUUCUAUUUUGUAGCCAAUACCAUGUUGCAGCCCAUUUGGCCUCCUUAUGAACCAAAUAAAUAAAUAAAGGGUAAUUGCCCAUGCUGAUGCAAUCUUAUCGAGAUGCACUUAUUGAUGCAAGUUUCUUUUGCUGUUUGAUCUUUUUAUUAUCUAGGUAUGUUCAGUCAAGAAGUUCUUGUACAGGAAUUUUGAGCAAAAAGUUAGGAUUUUCAGUUUGUUCCUAUUUUUUAUGAGUUG